GUGCCUGUAACUCGGUGGUAGAGUACAUUACUGUGAAUUAUAUUUGGUGUUCGCAGACGCGUGUUCGAAUCACGCUAGGCACU
rfam:Moniliophthora roreri strain MCA 2952 kmer90.96677, whole genome shotgun sequence.